GAUGAACGCUGGCGGCGUGCUUAACACAUGCAAGUCGAACGAUGAAGCCCAGCUUGCUGGGUGGAUUAGUGGCGAACGGGUGAGUAACACGUGAGUAACCUGCCCUUAACUCUGGGAUAAGCCUGGGAAACUGGGUCUAAUACCGGGUAGGAGCGUCCACCGCAUGGUGGGUGUUGGAAAGAUUUAUCGGUUUUGGAUGGACUCGCGGCCUAUCAGCUUGUUGGUGAGGUAAUGGCUCACCAAGGCGACGACGGGUAGCCGGCCUGAGAGGGUGACCGGCCACACUGGGACUGAGACACGGCCCAGACUCCUACGGGAGGCAGCAGUGGGGAAUAUUGCACAAUGGGCGCAAGCCUGAUGCAGCGACGCCGCGUGAGGGAUGACGGCCUUCGGGUUGUAAACCUCUUUCAGUAGGGAAGAAGCGAAAGUGACGGUACCUGCAGAAGAAGCACCGGCUAACUACGUG
rnacentral:rRNA from 1 species